AGGUCUAUAUUAUAGGAGGUGAUGGCACCCAGAAGGGAGCAGGUCAAAUUUACAAGGAAGUAGAGAAACGUGGUCUUCAAGUGGCAGUGGCUGGGAUCCCCAAGACCAUUGAUAAUGAUAUUGCUGUAAUAGAUAAAUCCUUUGGAUUUGAUACUGCUGUUGAGGAAGCUCAAAGAGCAAUAAACGCUGCACAUGUGGAGGUUGAAAGCGUGGAAAAUGGAGUUGGAAUAGUUAAACUGAUGGGUAGAUACAGUGGUUUCAUUGCUAUGUAUGCAACUUUGGCAAGUAGAGAUGUGGAUUGUUGCUUAAUUCCAGAAUCCCCAUUCUAUCUGGAAGGCCCAGGUGGGCUCUUUGAAUUUAUUGAACAGCGGCUAAAAGAAAAUGGGCAUUUGGUCAUUGUGAUAGCAGAAGGAGCAGGGCAGGAAUAUGCUGCUCGGAGCACACAUAGAACUGAUGAGAGAGAUGCAUCAGGAAACAGGCUACUUCUUGAUGUUGGUCUGUGGUUAUCACAGUACAUUAAGGAUCAUUUUAUGAAUGUUCGGAAGAUGCAAGUAAAUAUGAAAUAUAUAGAUCCCACAUACAUGAUACGAGCCAUUCCAAGUAAUGCAUCAGACAACAUCUAUUGCACUCUUCUGGCGCAUAGUGCUGUUCAUGGAGCCAUGGCUGGGUACACAGGCUUCACAGUUGGACCAGUGAACAGCAAACAUGCUUAUAUUCCCAUUGCACGUGUGACUGAGGCACAAAACACAGUGAAGUUGACAGAUAGGAUGUGGGCUAGACUGCUUGCAUCUACAAAUCAGCCUAGUUUCUUGAAUUCCAAUGGGAUGUCGCUAGAUAGAAUUGAUGGAGAGACAGUUGGAAUGAGAAAGGACAACACGAAGAUCAGUUCUACUUAGUUUUUUGGUUCUGGAUUAAAAUCCAGACAGAUCAGUACCAUUUCUUGUUUCCUGUUAUCGUGGUGAAAUCUCUCUGAUACCGAAUUCUGAGUUCUGAGAAGUAUAGCAAAUAUA
rnacentral:misc_RNA from 1 species